GCUCAGCCCUCCCACCCAGGCUCAGGACCCCUUCCUGGCUCAGGUCCUCCUCCUUCUCACCCUUCGGGGCAGCCCCUCCCCAGCAAGGCUCCCUGAUGCUCCAGCACAGAGCCAUCCUGUUACUUCAAGCUCUCCCGGUGCACAUGCUCCUUGGUGGCAUUAUCACAGGAAAUCCUAGUAAGGAACAUGGAACUAAGUCACCAUCAACCAGAAGAGUUCAGGAAAGGUCAAAAGGAGACACCACGUGUCCAACCACCUCCUAGAAUGCUUCUCGCUGGCAUCCAUCUUGGCUGAGCAAUGCAUGUGCCACCAGGAAGGAUUCUGAGUCAGAUGAUUGGUCAAAGAAAACCCGGAAACUAAUCCCAUCACCAUAAAACCCGAGACUGCGAGCCACGUGGCAGAGCAGUUCUCCUGGGUUCCCUUACCCUGCUGCCCUCCACCCAGGCGCCCUUCCCAAUAAAGUCUCUUGCUUUGUCAG
ensembl:lncRNA